rnacentral:lncRNA from 1 species
AAUAAAACAAAGUCCCAAACCAAAAGACACACAAAUAAAGCAAAAGGAUAAAGACUAUAAGAGAGGGCACCCACAUAGUACACUAAUAUCUCUAGCAGCUAAGACAACACAACACAACACAAAAACAAUCUCAAAACAAACCAGCCAGUCACCACUACACACAUAAAUAAUAGAAAAAAAUGUAGAAAGGGAAACAAAAAUAAAAACAAAAUACAGGGAAAUAGAAGAAAAAUAGUAUAAAGAAAUCAAAUUUUGUAUUAUGUGGCUAACUAAAUAAAAGUUUCAAAGUCACCGGUAUGCCUGCUAGCUGCUGGGUCCGUCAAUUUAAUGUUAAAAAAUUUGUUGCCGAAAAAGGGUCACCGGUAAAAUGGC